CUGCCCAGUGAACCUAUUUAACGGCCGCGGUACCCUAACCGUGCGAAGGUAGCGUAAUCACUUGUCUCCUAAUUAGAGACUAGUAUGAACGGCCACAUGAGGGCAUAACUGUCUCUUACAACCACUCAAUGAAACUGAGCUCUCAGUUAAAAAGCUGAAAUAACCCCAUAAGACGAGAAGACCCCGCGGAGCUUUAAGCAACCCACUAAUGUAACCAUCACAGCCAACCGGCUGCCAACCCCACAAUUAUAGUAGGAAGAGCUUUAAGUUGGGGCGACUGCCGAGCAAAACAAAACCUCCAUGAACCAGGAU
rnacentral:rRNA from 1 species